AGUCGAACGGCAGCACGGGGGCAACCCUGGUGGCGAGUGGCGAACGGGUGAGUAAUACAUCGGAACGUGCCCAGUCGUGGGGGAUAACUASGCGAAAGCSUAGCUAAUACCGCAUACGAUCUACGGAUGAAAGCGGGGGAUCGCAAGACCUCGCGCGAUUGGAGCGGCCGAUGGCAGAUUAGGUAGUUGGUGGGGUAAAGGCUCACCAAGCCGACGAUCUGUAGCUGGUCUGAGAGGACGACCAGCCACACUGGGACUGAGACACGGCCCAGACUCCUACGGGAGGCAGCAGUGGGGAAUUUUGGACAAUGGGCGCAAGCCUGAUCCAGCCAUUCCGCGUGCAGGAUGAAGGCCCUCGGGUUGUAAACUGCUUUUGUACGGAACGAAAMGCGCURRGYUAAUACCUYGGCGUMAUGACGGUACCGUAAGAAUAAGCACCGGCUAACUACGUGCCAGCAGCCGCGGUAAUACGUAGGGUGCAAGCGUUAAUCGGAAUUACUGGGCGUAAAGCGUGCGCAGGCGGUUA
rnacentral:rRNA from 1 species